GCAGCAGCCGCGGGAAUACGAGGGGGGCAAGCGUUGUUCGGAAUUAUUGGGCGUAAAGGGUGCGUAGGCGGCUUGACAAGUCUUGUGUGAAAUCUAUGGGCUCAACCCAUAGUCUGCACGGGAAACUGUCGGGCUUGAGAAUGGGAGAGGUGAGUGGAAUUUCCGGUGUAGCGGUGAAAUGCGUAGAUAUCGGAAGGAACACCUGUGGCGAAAGCGGCUCACUGGACCAUUUCUGACGCUGAUGCACGAAAGCUAGGGGAGCAAACAGGAUUAGAUACCCGCGUAGUCCCUGUCUCUUAUAA
rnacentral:rRNA from 1 species